rnacentral:lncRNA from 1 species
GGGACAGAGAGAGGACAUGUUUUUAGACUGUUAAAAUUCUACGAUCAGACUUUUGGAGCCAUAGCUGCAUGGGUCAUCCUGAAAAUGUCUGACAUGCAUUAGGUAUGCAAUAAAUGUUUGAUGAAUGAAUUCACAGCUGAUGGGUCUAGAAAGUCAUGAUCAUGAUUUUUACUUUUAAUUAAAGAAUCUGGGGAACCGUUGUAGACAUUUAAGAAGGUGAUGAUACCCAAAUGAUACUUGCAGAGGGUAGUUAGAACAAAAGAGAGAAGACAUCUUAAAUUUCUCAGAGAUGGUAAGAAUGAGGAGCUAACGAAUUAAAGCAUUUGAUUUCCCAGAAUUCUAUUUUUAACAAUUCUCACUGUAACUUACUAGGUUUAAAAUUAGUACAAAGUGUUGGAGGCAGAGUUAUUAAAUAGUUUG